UUCCGUACCGUGUGACUCUCUCUCUCUCUCUCUCCCUCUCCUGCUGUGCAGUGCUAUCUCCGUCGAGCUGUACUACAUCUUCGCCACUGUGUGGGGUCGGGAGCAGUACACACUGUAUGGGAUCCUCUUCAUUGUCUUCGCCAUCCUGCUGAGUGUCAGUGCCUGCAUCUCCAUCGCCCUGACCUACUUCCAGCUGUCGAGUGAGGAUUACCGCUGGUGGUGGCGCUCGGUCUUCAGCACGGGUUCCACCGGCUUCUUCAUGUUCCUCUACUCCGUCUUCUACUACUUCAAGCGCUCAAACAUGUCUGGGACAGUGCAGACACUGGAGUUCUUCGGCUACUCCGUCCUCACCUGCUACGUCUUCUUCCUCAUGCUGGGCUCCGUCUCCUUCUUUGCCUCGCUGCAGUUCAUCCGCUACAUCUAUGUCAACCUCAAAAUGGACUGACCUCAGAGACAGUGAGCGAACCAAGGAGCGUGCCCCACGGGGCUGGCAUCACGCACAUGGCCGAGGGGAGUGCCUUCAGCUGCGGAACAUUCUGGAAUUCCCUGCGCCAGGAUCGCCUCUGAGCUGUUCAGCGUGCGGGACCCCCCCCGCCCUGUGCACGGUGUAAAAUAUGUAACUUUAUAAAUAUUAUACAAUGAGGGUUGUGAAAUUUUAUAUACUGUAAACAGCUUGUAAAUUGGGUUUGCGUUCUUUUGUACAGCAAAGUGCCAUCUCGCUCUCGAGCUUCCUUGUCCCUCUCGUCGCCAAUCAUUUGUUUUCGUCGGCAUCUGGAAUUUAGUUUUAAUUUACACACCACCUAGAUUAUCAUUUCCAACAAGGACCGGUGUUUGCUUCUGGGGAUGGGACACUGCUUUCCCCUAAUCUCUCUCUGCCCUCCCUCCCUCAUAUGUCUGUCUGUUCUUUUGCAGUUGUCUUUUAUUACUAAUAAAAAAAAAAUUAAUUUUCAUUC